UGGUAUAUAGUUUAAAGGAAAAACAGUCGUCAGAAUGCGGAGGAUGUCGGUUCGAGUCCGGCUAUGCCAA
rnacentral:tRNA from 1 species